rnacentral:snRNA from 1 species
AAAUGAUACAAAUAACUUUCAGGGCCUUAAACAAGACCCAGUGAACAAUUUUUGGAGAACCCUAUUCUCAGGAAUAGGGUG